rnacentral:rRNA from 1 species
GACGAACCGAGCGAACGUUGUUCGGAAUCACUGGGCUUAAAGGGCGCGUAGGCGGGUACUCAAGUCUGUGGUGAAAUCCUCCGGCUCAACCGUGGAACUGCCUCAGAUACUGUCGGCCUCGAGGGAGGUAGGGGCGUGCGGAACUGUAGGUGGAGCGGUGAAAUGCGUUGAUAUCUACAGGAACUCCGGUGGCGAAAGCGGCGCGCUGGACCUCUUCUGACGCUGAGGCGCGAAAGCUAGGGGAGCAAACGGG